AAAGAAUACACGCAUGCUUCCUAUGAAUCACAAACAGCCAUGCACGAGCCAAGCUGUCAUGGGAUCAUUAUAGCUCCGGUGCAAGAAGACGUGAUAGAAAAGAUGGAGACUCCAUCGAGCUCCAGGCUGGGAGACAACAAGGGAGCAGUCAGAUGGGAGAGCUGCUCACCUAGACUCAAGACAUUGCAGGCAAGGGCAAUGCUUCAGCACUAGAAGGAUGAAACACACGCACUUUGUGUGGUGAGGGAGGAAAAGAAGAGUUUGAUGGAAAGACGAGGAAAAGAACCAAGCCCCUCUUAGCUGGUGACCACUCAGCUCCGAUGAGCAUCACCUGGGGAAGAUGUGCAGUGGCCGGGCCGAGCCAUGAAAGAACGGCAGGAGGAUCCGGACACCACUGUGGCUGCACUAAUGUUCUGGGGCUGCUGCAACGCAGGACCACAUACUGCCAAUCUCAAAACAAGAAAAAUGUGUCCUCUCCCAGUUCUGGAGGCCAGAAGUCUAGGAUCAAGGUGCUGGCAGGGCCAUGCUCUCUCUGAAGGCCCUAGAGGAGGAUCCUUCGGAAAUGGACUAAAUUGUGUCUACCCAAAAUUUCUAGGUCGAAGCCCCACCCCCACGUGACACUAUUUGGAGGUGGGCCCUUCAUGGAGGUAAUUAAGUUAAGUGAAGUCAUAAGGGUGGGGUCCUAAUCCAAUAGGACUGUGACCUUACAAGGAGAGGGAGGGACACUAGAGCUGUCUGUCUCCAGGCACAUACAAACCGUGUGAGCACAUAGAAGGAAGGUACCAUCUCCAAGCCAGGAAGUAGGCUUCACUGGAAAACAUCCCUGACAGCACCUUGACCUUGGACUUCCCAGGCUCCUGGAUGGUGGGAAAUAUAUGUCUGUUGUUGAAGCUGCCCAGUCGGCAGCAUUUUGUUACAACAGCCUGAGCUGCCUAAUCCACCUCCUGCCUCUUCCAGCUCCUGGGGACCCCAGGAAUGCCUUGGCUGUAGCCCUACAGCUCCAAUCUCUGCCUCCAUCUUCACGUGGCCUCCUCUUCUGUCUCUAAGAACAUUUAUUAUAUUUAAGGCCCACCCAGUUUGUCAGGAAUGAUCUCAUCUACAGAUCCUUAAUCCACAGAGACCCUUUUCCCAAAAGGUCAUGCUUGUGGGUUUCAGGAGUGAGGACACAGGCCCACUUUGGUGGAAUCCACUCACGAGCCUGUUUGCUCAUCUGUGUGUGUGCAGGAAAUUCACCGAGAGCCUUCUGGGUGCGGAUUGCUGCCCUCAGUCUUUGGCUGUGGCUCCUUCUGUCCAAGUACCUCUUCCAGGAGCAUCUGUUCUCCAGCAGCGCAUGGGGUGACAUAAAUUCACUCUAUUUGAUUUAGGGAAGCCUGGGUUUUGUUCUAAACCUGAGCCUUUGAAUUUAUUUUCAUCCCUUUGGCUGCCAGGUUUGUGAACUCUGUAAUGAGCGAGGAGCCUUCAGUGAUUCCUGAGAUCCUUUCUAGUUUCAUAACAUUAUAAAAUUCCUCACCCCAUCCCCAGACACCAGGAUUUCAUUCCAUUUCUCUAACAGGACAACACAUAUCUGGAGAGCAGUGACCCAAGACACAUCUUGUCCAGCGGGUCCCUCAUCCCUGUCACAGAACUGGGGACUGGCCCCUCCAACUGAGCACUGCUGCACACCUGGUGGGGUGCAGGUCACGCUGGAUUCUGUUGACCUUCAAACACACAGCCUUGGUGCAUUGGGAACCUGGUGUUCAUUUGCAAGCUCUGGACGUCUGGCAUGCUGGCUGGCACAAAAUAGACACUCAACAAAGCCCAGGGAAAGGGAGUACAAGCAGCCCUCUGCAAUAGAAGCUGCCAAGUCUUACAAAGUCUGUUAGCCUGGCUUUGAGCUGAUAACUGGACUGUGGGUACAGAGUGAAUAAAGCACUGAGGGGAAGCUACUGUGGCAGGAUUUGCCUCUGUAUUUACGGCAGAGUGUGUGCUGUGCACAGCGGCAGAACACACAGCAUGUGCCCAGCUUGUGCUGCAUGUAGCUGAGCUCCUCUGCUCCCUACUGCCCUCCCCAUUGCCACUUCGGGGCUGGCGCAGGGUCCGGUUCCUCCUCUGUUACCCUCCCUGGGUCCCACCUCUAUUCCCA
rnacentral:lncRNA from 1 species